UACGAAGGGGGCUAGCGUUGUUCGGAAUUACUGGGCGUAAAGCGUGCGCAGGCGGCCUUCCAAGUCAGGGGUGAAAGCCCAGAGCUCAACUCUGGAAUUGCCUUUGAGACUGUGAGGCUUGAGUACGGGAGAGGUGAGUGGAAUUCCCAGUGUAGAGGUGAAAUUCGUAGAUAUUGGGAAGAACACCGGUGGCGAAGGCGGCUCGCUGGCACGAAACUGACGCUCAUGCACGACAGCGUGGGGAUCAAACAGG
rnacentral:rRNA from 1 species